AUGGCUCAGAUUGAACGCUGGCGGCGUGCUUAACACAUGCAAGUCGCGCGUGAAAGGACUUCGGUCCGAGUAAAGCGGCGCACGGGUGAGUAACGCGUGGAUGAUCUACCCAUGAGUUAGGAAUAGCGGCUGGAAACGGUCGCUAAUACCAAAUACGCUCCGAUUUCAACUUCGGGGGAAAGGUGGCCUCUGCUUGCAAGCUACUGCUCAUGGAUGAGUCCGCGUCCCAUUAGCUAGUUGGUGGGGUAACGGCCCACCAAGGCGACGAUGGGUAGCCGGUCUGAGAGGAUGACCGGCCACACUGGGACUGGAACACGGCCCAGACUCCUACGGGAGGCAGCAGUGGGGAAUAUUGCGCAAUGGGCGAAAGCCUGACGCAGCGACGCCGCGUGAGGGAUGAAGGUCCUCGGAUCGUAAACCUCUGUCAGGAGGGAAGAACCGCCACGGUGCUAAUCAGCCGUGGUCUGACGGUACCUCCAAAGGAAGCACCGGCUAACUCCGUGCCAGCCGCAGC
rnacentral:rRNA from 1 species